AGCGAACGCUGGCGGCAGGCUUAACACAUGCAAGUCGAGCGGGCACUUCGGUGUCAGCGGCAGACGGGUGAGUAACACGUGGGAACGUACCCUUUGGUUCGGAAUAACGCUGGGAAACUAGCGCUAAUACCGGAUACGCCCUUUUGGGGAAAGGCUUGCUGCCGAAGGAUCGGCCCGCGUCUGAUUAGCUAGUUGGUGGGGUAAUGGCCUACCAAGGCGACGAUCAGUAGCUGGUCUGAGAGGAUGAUCAGCCACACUGGGACUGAGACACGGCCCAGACUCCUACGGGAGGCAGCAGUGGGGAAUAUUGGACAAUGAGCGCAAGCCUGAUCCAGCCAUGCCGCGUGAGUGAUGAAGGCCUUAGGGUUGUAAAGCUCUUUUGUCCGGGACGAUAAUGACGGUACCGGAAGAAUAAGCCCCGGCUAACUUCAUG
rnacentral:rRNA from 1 species